GUGAAUCAUCGAAUUUUUGAACGCAAGUUGCACUUUCUGGUAUUCCGGAGAGUAUGCCUGUUUGAGGGUCAGUUAAAUAAAAAUCGGGUGUGGUUGUUCUUUUCGGUGGUACGGGUCGGGAUGUAGGUGUCUUACCUUCGGGUAAAGUACUUAAAAAUUUUCAUUAAUUUCGUACGAAGUUUAAUAGUGUACUUACGUUUGAUAUAG
rnacentral:misc_RNA from 1 species